rnacentral:rRNA from 1 species
UGGGGAAUAUUGGACAAUGGGCGAAAGCCUGAUCCAGCCAUGCCGCGUGUGUGAAGAAGGUCUUCGGAUUGUAAAGCACUUUAAGUUGGGAGGAAGGGUUGUAGAUUAAUACUCUGCAAUUUUGACGUUACCGACAGAAUAAGCACCGGCUAACUCUGUGCCAGCAGCCGCGGUAAUACAGAGGGUGCAAGCGUUAAUCGGAAUUACUGGGCGUAAAGCGCGCGUAGGUGGUUUGUUAAGUUGGAUGUGAAAUCCCCGGGCUCAACCUGGGAACUGCAUUCAAAACUGACUGACUAGAGUAUGGUAGAGGGUGGUGGAAUUUCCUGUGUAGCGGUGAAAUGCGUAGAUAUAGGAAGGAACACCAGUGGCGAAGGCGACCACCUGGACUAAUACUGACACUGAGGUGC